rnacentral:rRNA from 1 species
AACGAACGCUGGCGGCAUGCCUAACACAUGCAAGUCGAACGAGACCUUCGGGUCUAGUGGCGCACGGGUGCCUAACGCGUGGGAAUCUGCCCUUGGGUUCGGAAUAACAGUUAGAAAUGACUGCUAAUACCGGAUGAUGUCUUCGGACCAAAGAUUUAUCGCCCAGGGAUGAGCCCGCGUAGGAUUAGCUAGUUGGUGAGGUAAAGGCUCACCAAGGCGACGAUCCUUAGCUGGUCUGAGAGGAUGAUCAGCCACACUGGGACUGAGACACGACCCAGACUCCUACGGGAGGCAGCAGUGGGGAAUAUUGGACAAUGGGCGAAAGCCUGAUCCAGCAAUGCCGCGAGAGUGAUGAAGGCCUUAGGGUUGUAAAGCUCUUUUACCCGGGAUGAUAAUGACAGUACCGGGAGAAUAAGCCCCGGCUAACUCCGUGCCAGCAGCCGCGGUAAUACGGAGGGGGCUAGCGUUGUUCGGAAUUACUGGGCGUAAAGCGCGCGUAGGCGGCUUUGUAAGUUAGAGGUGAAAGCCCGGAGCUCAACUCCGGAACUGCCUUUAAGACUGCAUCGCUAGAAUCGUGGAGAGGUGAGUGGAAUUCCGAGUGUAGAGGUGAAAUUCGUAGAUAUUCGGAAGAACACCAGUGGCGAAGGCGACUCACUGGACACGUAUUGACGCUGA